UACACAACCAAUCCCGACUCUCAAAGCAUCACAAUAAACGGUGUAAGAACCUGAAGCUGUUAGCAAGACUAAUAUCAGAUCUGUGGUUAAAGUUGUCUUGAGCUUUUGAAAACUCUCCUCGCACUUGUUCGACCAUAUAAAGUGAGCACCCUCCUGUGUUAAUUUGAUCAAGGACGAGGCAAUAGAUGAGAACCCCUGAACCCUGAACGAACUAACUUGCGGUUGCCAUGAGGAGAAUAGAGAGAAUAAAACCAAACUUAAGCAAUGACAUAUCAAGAAUAGUACACAACGUGUUGUAUAGGUUUUUUCUUGCAUUUUGUUGCUUCUCAAGCGGCAUAAUUUAUAGACCUCCUUGUAAAUGAACUACAU
rnacentral:lncRNA from 1 species